AGACCCGAAACCCGGUGAUCUAGCCAUGGGCAGGUUGAAGGUUGGGUAACACUAACUGGAGGACCGAACCGACUAAUGUUGAAAAAUUAGCGGAUGACCUGUGGCUGGGGGUGAAAGGCCAAUCAAACCGGGAGAUAGCUGGUUCUCCCCGAAAGCUAUUUAGGUAGCGCCUCGUGAAUUCAUCUCCGGGGGUAGAGCACUGUUUCGGCUAGGGGGCCAUCCCGGCUUACCAACCCGAUGCAAACUGCGAAUACCGGAGAAUGUUAUCACGGGAGACACACGGCGGGUGCUAACGUCCGUCGUGAAGAGGGAAACAACCCAGACCGCCAGCUAAGGUCCCAAAGUCAUGGUUAAGUGGGAAACGAUGUGGGAAGGCCCAGACAGCCAGGAUGUUGGCUUAGAAGCAGCCAUCAUUUAAAGAAAGCGUAAUAGCUCACUGGUCGAGUCGGCCUGCGCGGAAGAUGUAACGGGGCUAAACCAUGCACCGAAGCUGCGGCAGCGACACUCAGGUGUUGUUGGGUAGGGGAGCGUUCUGUAAGCCUGCGAAGGUGGCCUGUGAGGGUUGCUGGAGGUAUCAGAAGUGCGAAUGCUGACAUAAGUAACGAUAAAGCGGGUGAAAAGCCCGCUCGCCGGAAGACCAAGGGUUCCUGUCCAACGUUAAUCGGGGCAGGGUGAGUCGACCCCUAAGGCGAGGCCGAAAGGCGUAGUCGAUGGGAAACGGGUUAAUAUUCCCGUACUUGGUGUUACUGCGAAGGGGGGACGGAGAAGGCUAUGUUGGCCGGGCGACGGUUGUCCCGGUUUAAGCGUGUAGGCUGGUUUUCCAGGCAAAUCCGGAAAAUCAAGGCUGAGGCGUGACGACGAGGCACUACGGUGCUGAAGCAACAAAUGCCCUGCUUCCAGGAAAAGCCUCUAAGCAUCAGGUAACAUCAAAUCGUACCCCAAACCGACACAGGUGGUCAGGUAGAGAAUACCAAGGCGCUUGAGAGAACUCGGGUGAAGGAACUAGGCAAAAUGGUGCCGUAACUUCGGGAGAAGGCACGCUGACACGUAGGUGAAGUGAUUUACUCACGGAGCUGAAGUCAGUCGAAGAUACCAGCUGGCUGCAACUGUUUAUUAAAAACACAGCACUGUGCAAACACGAAAGUGGACGUAUACGGUGUGACGCCUGCCCGGUGCCGGAAGGUUAAUUGAUGGGGUCAGCGCAAGCGAAGCUCCUGAUCGAAGCCCCGGUAAACGGCGGCCGUAACUAUAACGGUCCUAAGGUAGCGAAAUUCCUUGUCGGGUAAGUUCCGACCUGCACGAAUGGCGUAAUGAUGGCCAGGCUGUCUCCACCCGAGACUCAGUGAAAUUGAACUCGCUGUGAAGAUGCAGUGUACCCGCGGCAAGACGGAAAGACCCCGUGAACCUUUACUAUAGCUUGACACUGAACAUUGAGCCUUGAUGUGUAGGAUAGGUGGGAGGCUUUGAAGUGUGGACGCCAGUCUGCAUGGAGCCGACCUUGAAAUACCACCCUUUAAUGUUUGAUGUUCUAACGUGGACCCGUGAUCCGGGUUGCGGACAGUGUCUGGUGGGUAGUUUGACUGGGGCGGUCUCCUCCUAAAGAGUAACGGAGGAGCACGAAGGUUGGCUAAUCCUGGUCGGACAUCAGGAGGUUAGUGCAAUGGCAUAAGCCAGCUUGACUGCGAGCGUGACGGCGCGAGCAGGUGCGAAAGCAGGUCAUAGUGAUCCGGUGGUUCUGAAUGGAAGGGCCAUCGCUCAACGGAUAAAAGGUACUCCGGGGAUAACAGGCUGAUACCGCCCAAGAGUUCAUAUCGACGGCGGUGUUUGGCACCUCGAUGUCGGCUCAUCACAUCCUGGGGCUGAAGUAGGUCCCAAGGGUAUGGCUGUUCGCCAUUUAAAGUGGUACGCGAGCUGGGUUUAGAACGUCGUGAGACAGUUCGGUCCCUAUCUGCCGUGGGCGCUGGAGAACUGAGGGGGGCUGCUCCUAGUACGAGAGGACCGGAGUGGACGCAUCACUGGUGUUCGGGUUGUCAUGCCAAUGGCACUGCCCGGUAGCUAAAUGCGGAAGAGAUAAGUGCUGAAAGCAUCUAAGCACGAAACUUGCCCCGA
rnacentral:rRNA from 1 species